rnacentral:rRNA from 1 species
AAUGAACGUUGGCGGCGUGGAUUAGGCAUGCAAGUCGUGCGAGAAGUCUUUUGCUUGCAUUAGACUGAAAGCGGCGAAAGGGAGAGUAACGCGUGGAUACCUACCUUCAGGCUCGGGAUAGCUGCGGGAAACUGCAGGUAAUACCGAAUAACAUCUCCGGAUCAAAGGUGUGAUUCCGCCUGGAGACGGUUCCGCGUCCUAUUAGCUAGUUGGUGGGGUAAUGGCUCACCAAGGCGACGAUGGGUACCGGGCGUGAGAGCGUGACCCGGCUCACUGGGACUGAGACACUGCCCAGACACCUACGGGUGGCUG